rnacentral:rRNA from 1 species
AGUGAACGCUGGCGGUAGGCCUAACACAUGCAAGUCGAACGGCAGCACAGUAAGAGCUUGCUCUUACGGGUGGCGAGUGGCGGACGGGUGAGGAAUACAUCGGAAUCUACUUUUUCGUGGGGGAUAACGUAGGGAAACUUACGCUAAUACCGCAUACGACCUACGGGUGAAAGCAGGGGAGCUUCGGACCUUGCGCGAUCGAAUGAGCCGAUGUCGGAUUAGCUAGUUGGCGGGGUAAAGUCCCACCAAGGCGACGAUCCGUAGCUGGUCUGAGAGGAUGAUCAGCCACACUGGAACUGGGACACGGCCCAGACUCCUACGGGAGGCAGAAGGGGGGAAUAUUGGACAAUGGGGGAAAGCCUGAGCCAGCCAUCCCGCGUGGGUGAGGAAGGCCUUCGGGUUGUAAAGCCCUUUUGUUGGGAAAGAAGAGCAGCAGGUUAAUACCCCGGUGUUGUGACGGUACCCAAAAAAUAAGCACCGGCUAACUCCGUG